rnacentral:lncRNA from 1 species
CACCGAGGCACGUGAUCUCCACUCAAAUGGAAUUAAUCGCGGAGCAUCUGAGUUACCUCUUCAGACUGGAAGAUAGAGAUCAAAGUCAGCCAGUCAAUGAGACUCUGAUAAGCCAUUAACCAGGCCCAGAGCCAGCUCCCCACCCUUCCUCCCAGGCCAGCCAGACGCGCUCUGCCCUGUACCUCCACUCUGCCCCACCCCUUCAGGGCUGGGCCUCUGGAGACUUUUAGCCUCAAAGCCAACCUCUUCCCCUUUCAAAUGGGGCAGGAAAGCCUCUGCCUGCCUCUUGGAAACUGAGCCCGGUGGGUGAUGCGUCUUAGGGGAGCCCUCCCUCACCUGCCUGGGACGCCCCCCUGCACCUUCUCCCUGGUGGAUUCACAAGCAGAACGACUCCCUCGAGAGCAUCACAGUCUCUGCCCCAGGCCCACUGAGUACGCGGCUUGGACCCUCCAGGUUGCAAGAAGAAGCAUCAAAACUAUGAUGGUUACAUCUGAACCAUCGGGGGACACUGGCGGAAGCCCAGAGGACCUCUCUGGCAGGGUUCGUGCCCCUUGUCCCUGUGGGGACCCGGGAGCUCUGGACUGGCCUGGCUUUCCUGGGACACCUGUGUCUACAUCCAGCUCUCCAUCCCCCUGGACAGCAAGGCAGCCCCUGCCCAGAGCUCUGGUCCCUGAGCUCUCUAAGGGCAAGGAAAAGAUUCGUGCAUCCUUAUACGCCCGAAACUGCACACAAGAAACGAUGAAAACACGGAGGGGAAGAGGCCGUUUCUGCAGUUUCCCAACUGCGCCGGUCCUGGGAGCGGCCUCCCGUAACGAGCAGCAGCCCUGGCCCGGCCUGAAAGGCGAACAUGCCCAGCGUCUGGCCUCCGCCGCGCAGCCCCAGCUCCCUGCCUGACACACACAUGGUCGCGCCCCACCGACGAUUUGAAAGGUCGCAUUUUGCCCCUGUUACAACUCCCCCUCUUCUCAUUAAAAAAAAAAAGAAAUAAUAAAAUACAAACUCGC